AAGUCGUAACAAGGUUUCCGUAGGUGAACCUGCGGAAGGAUCAUUAACACGUAUCCAACGUUAAACAACCCUGUGAACUUUAAGCCUACUCUUGCAGCCCAUGAGGAACAGUCCCGGUAAAUCAUUGCCAAACUGUUUUGUCCAAAAGGAGUUGCAAUUGAGUGGUAGAUGCAGUGGCAUGGCUUCCCCAAGCAGUUAGUGUCACUGACUGUGUAAGGAUAACGCCUCACGGUUGCCAGAGGUCGAUCACGUAAAAAAAACCGCACAACUGUUAACAAUGGAUAUCUUGGUUCUC
rnacentral:misc_RNA from 1 species